GCGCUCGCUUUGGCAGCACAUAUGCUAACAUUGGGACGAUACAGGGAAGGUUAGCAUGGCCCUUGAGCAAGGCUGACACACCCAUUCAUGAAGCAUUCCAUAUUUUU
rfam:Tupaia chinensis contig110085, whole genome shotgun sequence.